GGGACACGUGGUAUCCUGUCUGAAUAUGGGGGGACCAUCCUCCAAGGCUAAAUACUCCUGACUGACCGAUAGUGAACCAGUACCGUGAGGGAAAGGCGAAAAGAACCCCGGCGAGGGGAGUGAAAAAGAACCUGAAACCGUGUACGUACAAGCAGUGGGAGCACCUUCGGGUGUGACUGCGUACCUUUUGUAUAAUGGGUCAGCGACUUAUAUUCUGUAGCAAGGUUAACCGUAUAGGGGAGCCGCAGGGAAACCGAGUCUUAACUGGGCGUUAAGUUGCAGGGUAUAGACCCGAAACCCGGUGAUCUAGCCAUGGGCAGGUUGAAGGUUGGGUAACACUAACUGGAGGACCGAACCGACUAAUGUUGAAAAAUUAGCGGAUGACUUGUGGCUGGGGGUGAAAGGCCAAUCAAACCGGGAGAUAGCUGGUUCUCCCCGAAAGCUAUUUAGGUAGCGCCUCGUGAAUUCAUCUUCGGGGGUAGAGCACUGUUUCGGCUAGGGGGUCAUCCCGACUUACCAACCCGAUGCAAACUACGAAUACCGAAGAAUGUUAUCACGGGAGACACACGGCGGGUGCUAACGUCCGUCGUGAAGAGGGAAACAACCCAGACCGCCAGCUAAGGUCCCAAAGUCAUGGUUAAGUGGGAAACGAUGUGGGAAGGCACAGACAGCCAGGAUGUUGGCUUAGAAGCAGCCAUCAUUUAAAGAAAGCGUAAUAGCUCACUGGUCGAGUCGGCCUGCGCGGAAGAUGUAACGGGGCUAAACCAUGCACCGAAGCUGCGGCAGCGACACUAUGUGUUGUUGGGUAGGGGAGCGUUCUGUAAGCCUGCGAAGGUGACC
rnacentral:rRNA from 1 species